rnacentral:rRNA from 1 species
AAUCUAAUUCAGUGGCGAACGGGUGAGUAAUACUUAUCUACUUGCCAAUUAGUGGGGGAUUAAAUACCGCAUAUUCUGAUUUCGGUCAGGAAAGGGUUCCGCAAGGAUCCGCUAAUUGAGAGGGAUAAGGCGUAUUAGCUAGUUGGUGGGGUAAUGGCCUACCAAGGUGAUGAUGCGUAGCCGGCCUGAGAGGGUGAACGGCCACAAGGGAACUGAGACACGGUCCCUACUCCUACGGGAGGCAGAAGGAGGAAACAUCCCGCAAUGGACGCAAGUCUAACGGAGUGAUACUACGUGAAGGAUGAAGGUCUACGGAUUGUAAACUUCUUUACUAGUAGGUACUGCUUUCGGGCUUGCUUGCUAGCAAAAAGUCACGACUAACUAUGUGCCAGCAGUCGCGGUAAGACAUAGGUGGCAAACGUUAUCCGGAAUUACUGGGCGUAAAGAGUGCGUAGGUGGUUUAAUAAGUUACUGGUGGCAAAUCGGGGCUCAACCCCGUGGAAGUUGGUAAUACUAUUAAACUAGAGGAUCGGAGAGGUUAACGGAAUUCUAUGUGUAGCGGUAAAAUGCUCAAAUAUAUAGAGGAACACCAAACGGCGAAGGCAGUUAACUAUUCGGUGCCUGACGUUGAGGCACGAAAGCGUGGGGAGCAAGACGGAUUAGAUACCCGAGUAGUCCACGCCCUAAACGAUGAGUACUAGAUAUUAGGAACUUGAUUCUUAGUGUCGCAAGAUAACUCGGUAAGUACUCCGCCUGGGUAGUACGGUCGCAAGGCUAAAACUC